GUUAUUCCUGAUUGAAACCAUUUGUGGUGUUUGCUACAGGUGUUUUGCACGCCUAGACAUGCAUACUCUUGUUAAAUUUUGUUUUAUUUGCUUAAUACACCAAAACCACAUGGCAUAGCCCAUGUUGACUAUUAUUUCAUUCAGGGCUACGUGCAGGAGAAGUCGACAUCUAUCUGGUCUUUGGAAGACUGAAGUCAAAAACAGACACACCUCAAGAUGAGACAUUAGUUGGUUAUGUCCCUGUGUGCCUCACCAGUCCAGCACAGCUCCCAUCAGAUCCUCAAAAAAGUUAUACAGCUGCACCAUUGAGAGCAUCUUGACUGGCUGCAUCACCGCUUGGUACGGAAACUGCAAGGCACCCGAACACAAGACGCAAUAGAUGGUGGCGAGUACAGCCUAGUACAUCACUGGGGCCGAGCUCCCUGCCAUCCAGGACCUCUAUACCCAGCGGUGACAGAGGAAGGCCACCAAAACAUUGUCAAAGACUACAGCCACCCAAGCACGGCAAGCAGUACCAGUGUACCAAGUCGGGAACCAAGAGGACAAUGAACAGCUUCUACCCCCAAGCAAUCAGACUGCUAAUCCAGGCUGCUAAAUAGCUACCCGGACUACCUGCAUUUACUUAACUAACUCUCUUGCACCGACUAACACUGGUCUCUACCCACAUACACUACAUAAGCCCACACGCAUACUGACGCCACACACACCGUAUACGCUUCUGCUACAGCUCAGUCUAUUAUCUAUCCUGUUGCCUACUCAUUUUACCCCUACCUAUAUGUACAUAGCUACCUCAAUUACCUUGUAACCUUGAACAUCAACGUGGUGCUGGUACUCCCUGUAUAUAGCCAUGUUAUCUUUACUAGUUGUUAUUCGUUAUUCACUGUGUAUUUAUUUCUCGUGUCACUAUUUUUAUUUUAUUUAACUCUGCAUUGUUGGAAAAGGACCUGUUAAUAAGCAUUUCACUUGUUAGUCUAAAAAUGUGACAUAACAUUUGACUACAAACAAAAUGCGUUGAGACUGUAAACAAGACAUUCAGACAGCUUCAUAAAUAUAGGCAGCUGUUGUUUACAUUGUCAACUGCACUGCUGCAUCUCCAGUUCUACAACUUUAGAGCAACAACCCACUUCGGAGGUAGUUUGCGAAAAGUCUAGACUUGGUAGAUGUGGAAAUAAGAUUAAGCUUACUUUAAAAAAAUCUUAGAAUAGGAACAAUCUAAAUAGAAUGUUAUGUUGAAAACGUAGUUCAGUAGAGAAGUUGACACCUAUUCAUUUACCAUUCAAACGUUUGGACACCUACUCAUUUAAAAAAAAACUAUUUUCUACAUUGUAGAAUAAUAGUGAAGACAUAAAAACUAUGAAAUAACAUAUGGAAUCAUGUAGUAACCAAAAAAAGUGUUAACAAAUAAAAAAUGUCACCCUUUGGCUUGACAUUUUUGCACACUUGGCAUUUUGUCAACCAGCUUCAUGAGGUAGUCACUCGGAAUGCAUUUCAAUUAACAGGUGUGCAUUGUUAAUUUGUGGAAUUUCUUUCCUUCUUAAUGCAUUUGAGCCAAUCAGUUGUGUUGUGACAAGGUAGGGGUGGUUUACAGAAGAUAGCCCUACUUGGUAAAAGACCAAGUCCAUAUUAUGGCAAGAAGAGCUCAAAUAAGCAAAGAGAAAUGACAGUGCAUCAUUAAUUUAAGACAUGAAGGUCAGUCAAUCUAGAACACUUCAAGGACUUUCAAAUGCAGUCGCAAAAACCAUCAAGCGCUAUGAUGAAACUGGCUCUCAUGAGGACCACCACAGGAAAGGAAGACCCAGAGUUACCUCUGCUGAGGAGGAUAAGUUCAUUAGAGUUAACUGCACCUCCGAUUGUAGCCCAAAUAACUGCUUCACAGAGGUCAAGUAACAACAAAUUCUUACUUACAAUGACUGCAUGAAAUCAGGCCUUCGUGGUUGAAUUGCUGCAAAGAAACCACUACUAAAUGACACCAAUAAGAAGAGACUUUCUUAGGCCAAGUAACAUGAACAAUGGACAUUAGACCGGUGGAAAUAUG